AUUGAACGCUGGCGGCAUGCCUUACACAUGCAAGUCGAACGGCAGCGGACCUUCGGGUGCCGGCGAGUGGCGAACGGGUGAGUAAUAUAUCGGAACGUACCUUUCAGUGGGGGAUAACGUAGCGAAAGUUACGCUAAUACCGCAUAUUCUGUGAGCAGGAAAGCAGGGAAUCGCAAGACCUUGCGCUGAUUGAGCGGCCGAUAUCAGAUUAGCUAGUUGGUGAGGUAAGGCUCACCAAGGCGACGAUCUGUAGCGGGUCUGAGAGGAUGAUCCGCCACACUGGAACUGAGACACGGUCCAGACUCCUACGGGAGGCAGCAGUGGGGAAUUUUGGACAAUGGGCGCAAGCCUGAUCCAGCCAUGCCGCGUGAGUGAGAAGG
rnacentral:rRNA from 1 species